rnacentral:rRNA from 1 species
AUGCAGUCGAGCGGUAGAGAGAAGCUUGCUUCUCUUGAGAGCGGCGGACGGGUGAGUAAUGCCUAGGAAUCUGCCUGGUAGUGGGGGAUAACGUUCGGAAACGGACGCUAAUACCGCAUACGUCCUACGGGAGAAAGCAGGGGACCUUCGGGCCUUGCGCUAUCAGAUGAGCCUAGGUCGGAUUAGCUAGUUGGUGAGGUAAUGGCUCACCAAGGCGACGAUCCGUAACUGGUCUGAGAGGAUGAUCAGUCACACUGGAACUGAGACACGGUCCAGACUCCUACGGGAGGCAGCAGUGGGGAAUAUUGGACAAUGGGCGAAAGCCUGAUCCAGCCAUGCCGCGUGUGUGAAGAAGGUCUUCGGAUUGUAAAGCACUUUAAGUUGGGAGGAAGGGCAGUUACCUAAUACGUGAUUGUUUUGACGUUACCGACAGAAUAAGCACCGGCUAACUCUGUGCCAGCAGCC